rnacentral:rRNA from 1 species
AGUGAACGCUGGCGGCAGGCCUAACACAUGCAAGUCGAGCGGCAGCGGGUCCUUCGGGAUGCCGGCGAGCGGCGGACGGGUGAGGAAUGCAUCGGAAUCUGCCCUGUCGUGGGGGAUAACCUAGGGUAACUUAGGCUAAUACCGCAUACGACCCACGGGUGAAAGCGGGGGAUCGCAAGACCUCGCGCGAUAGGAUGAGCCGAUGUCCGAUUAGCUAGUUGGCGGGGUAAAGGCCCACCAAGGCGACGAUCGGUAGCUGGUCUGAGAGGAUGAUCAGCCACACUGGGACUGAGACACGGCCCAGACUCCUACGGGAGGCAGCAGUGGGGAAUAUUGGACAAUGGGCGCAAGCCUGAUCCAGCCAUGCCGCGUGGGUGAAGAAGGCCUUCGGGUUGUAAAGCCCUUUUGUCCGGGAAGAAAUCGUCUGGGCUAAUACCCCGGGCGGAUGACGGUACCGGAAGAAUAAGCACCGGCUAACUUCGUG